AGCGGCGGAUGGGUGAGUAACACGUGGGGAACCUGCCCCUAAGUCUGGGAUACCAUUUGGAAACAGGUGCUAAUACCGGAUAAUAAAGCAGAUCGCAUGAUCAGCCUUUGAAAGGCGGCGUAAGCUGUCGCUAAGGGAUGGCCCCGCGGUGCAUUAGCUAGUUGGUAAGGUAACGGCUUACCAAGGCGACGAUGCAUAGCCGAGUUGAGAGACUGAUCGGCCACAUUGGGACUGAGACACGGCCCAAACUCCUACGGGAGGCAGCAGUAGGGAAUCUUCCACAAUGGACGCAAGUCUGAUGGAGCAACGCCGCGUGAGUGAAGAAGGUUUUCGGAUCGUAAAGCUCUGUUGUUGGUGAAGAAGGAUAGAGGUAGUAACUGGCCUUUAUUUGACGGUAAUCAACCAGAAAGUCACGGCUAACUACGUGCCAGCAGCCGCGGUAAUACGUAGGUGGCAAGCGUUGUCCGGAUUUAUUGGGCGUAAAGCGAGCGCAGGCGGAAAAAUAAGUCUAAUGUGAAAGCCCUCGGCUUAACCGAGGAACUGCAUCGGAAACUGUUUUUCUUGAGUGCAGAAGAGGAGAGUGGAACUCCAUGUGUAGCGGCGGAAUGCGUAGAUAUAUGGAAGAACACCAGUGGCGAAGGCGGCUCUCUGGUCUGCAACUGACGCUGAGGCUCGAAAGCAUGGGUAGCGAACAGGAUUAGAUACCCUGGUAGUCCAUGCCGUAAACGAUGAGUGCUAAGUGU
rnacentral:rRNA from 1 species